AGGGAAUAGAUACCCCGGUAGUCCUGGCAGUAAACGGUGCACGUUUGGUGUGGGCGCAAUCGACCGCGUCCGCGCCGGAGCUAAACGCGUUAAACGUGCCGCCUGGGAAGUACGGUCGCAAGAUUAAAACUCAAAGAAAUUGACGGGGACCCGCACAAGCGGUGGAGUAUGUGGCUUAAUUCGAUGCAACGCGAAGAACCUUACCUGGUCUUGACACGCAUUGUGUCUCCGGUGAAAGCCGGAUAGGGCAGCAAUGCCCGCUUUGCACAGGUGCUGCAUGGCUGUCGUCAGCUCGUGUCGUGAGAUGUUGGGUUAAGUCCCGCAACGAGCGCAACCCCGUGUGAUUUGUUGCCACCGGGCUUAUGCCGAGCACUCGAAUCAGACUGCCUCGAUCAACGAGGAGGAAGGUGGGGAUGACGUCAAGUCCGUAUGGCCCUUACGACCAGGGCUGCACACGUACUACAAUGCUCAGCACAAUGUGAACCGAUGCCGCGAGGUGGAGGAAACUCAACAAAACCUGAG
rnacentral:rRNA from 1 species